rnacentral:rRNA from 1 species
CACGUAGGGCGCAAGCGUUGUCCGGAAUUAUUGGGCGUAAAGAGCUCGUAGGCGGUUUGUCGCGUCUGCUGUGAAAUUUCGGGGCUCAACCCCGAACUUGCAGUGGGUACGGGCAGACUAGAGUGUGGUAGGGGAGACUGGAAUUCCUGGUGUAGCGGUGAAAUGCGCAGAUAUCAGGAGGAACACCGAUGGCGAAGGCAGGUCUCUGGGCCAUAACUGACGCUGAGGAGCGAAAGCGUGGGUAGCAAACAGG